AACGAACGCUGGCGGCAUGCCUAACACAUGCAAGUCGAACGAGACCUUCGGGUCUAGUGGCGCACGGGUGCGUAACACGUGGGAAUUUGCCUCGGGGUAUGGAAUAAACUCAGAGAAAUUUGAGCUAAUACCGGAUAAUGUCUUCGGACCAAAGAUUUAUCGCCUUUAGAUGGGCCCGCGUUUGGAUUAGCUAGUUGGUGGGUAAAGGCCUACCAAGCGACGAUCCAUAGCUGGUCUGAGAGGAUGAUNAGCCACACUGGGACUGAGACAGG
rnacentral:rRNA from 1 species